CGAUGAAGCCCUUCGGGGUGUAAAGCUCUUUCGACAGGGACGAUAAUGACGGUACCUGUAGAAGAAGCUGCGGCUAACUACGUGCCAGCAGCCGCGGUAAUACGUAGGCGGCGAGCGUUGUUCGGAAUUACUGGGCGUAAAGAGUGUGUAGGCGGUGCUCUAAGUUCGGUGUGAAAUCUCCGGGCUUAACUGGGAGGGUGCGCCGGAAACUGGAAUGCUCGAGUGUGGGAGAGGAAAGCGGAAUUCCUGGUGUAGCGGUGAAAUGCGUAGAUAUCAGGAGGAACACCUGUGGUGUAGACGGCUUUCUGGACCAUUGCUGACGCUGAGACACGAAAGCGUGGGUAGCAAACAGGAUUAGAUACCCUGGUAGUCCACGCCCUAAACGAUGCAUACUUGGUGUCGGCCAUUCAGUUGGUCGGUGCCGGAGCUAACGCGUUAAGUAUGCCGCCUGGGGAGUACGGUCGCAAGGCUGAAACUC
rnacentral:rRNA from 1 species